UCUCCUUAAAAAGGGACCAAAACCGAGCUCUAGGUUAACCAAAGAAAAGACCAAAAAAUUUCAGAAUUUCUCUCUAAGUUUCUCUUGGUAUUUCUUCAUCUUGGAAGGCAAAAAAAGGCUACUUUUUGAGUUCUUGAAUUAGACCUACACCUUGGGAGUUAAGAUAAAUAGUUGGAAGAAAAGAAGUCAUUUCGAC